rnacentral:rRNA from 1 species
UACGAAGGUCCCAAGCGUUGUUCGGAAUCACUGGGCGUAAAGGGAGCGUAGGCGGCGUGGUAAGUCAGAUGUGAAAUCCCGGAGCUCAACUCCGGAACUGCCUUUGAUACUGGCGAUCUAGAGAUCGAGAGAGGUGAGUGGAAUUCCGAGUGUAGAGGUGAAAUUCGUAGAUAUUCGGAAGAACACCAGUGGCGAAGGCGGCUCACUGGCUCGAUACUGACGCUGAGGUGCGAAAGCGUGGGGAGCAAACAGG